rnacentral:rRNA from 1 species
AGAAUCAACGCUGGCGGCGUGCCUAACACAUGCAAGUCGAACGAGAAAGUGGAGCAAUCCAUGAGUAAAGUGGCGCACGGGUGAGUAACACGUGACUAACCUACCCUUGAGUGGGGGAUAACCUAGGGAAACCUGGGCUAAUACCGCAUAAUACCUUCGGGUCAAAGGAGCAAUUCGCUUAAGGAGGGGGUCGCGGCCGAUUAGUUAGUUGGCGGGUAAUGGCCCACAAGACGAUGAUCGGUA